rnacentral:rRNA from 1 species
GAUAACCGCUGAAAGCAUCUAAGCGGGAAACUUGCCUCAAGAUGAGAUCUCACUGGGAACUUGAUUCCCCUGAAGGGCCGUCGAAGACUACGACGUUGAUAGGCUGGGUGUGUAAGCGUUGUGAGGCGUUGAGCUAACCAGUACUAAUUGCCCGUGAGGCUUGACCAU